rnacentral:rRNA from 1 species
GACAGAGGGUGCAAGCGUUGUUCGGAAUUACUGGGCGUAAAGCGCGUGUAGGCGGUCGUGCAAGUCGGGUGUGAAAGCCCUCGGCUCAACCGGGGAAGUGCAUUCGAAACUGCAUGACUAGAGUCUCGGAGAGGAUAGUGGAAUUCUCGGUGUAGAGGUGAAAUUCGUAGAUAUUGGGAAGAACACCGGUGGCGAAGGCGGCUCUCUGGACCGAUACUGACGCUGAGGCGCGAAAGCGUGGGGAGCGAACAGG